rnacentral:sRNA from 1 species
AAGUCGUAACAAGGUCUCCGUUGGUGAACCAGCGGAGGGAUCAUUAGCGAGUUUCAAACUCCCAACCCUCGUGGACAUACCAAACGUUGCUUCGGCGGGGCGCUCUAAAGCGUAGCCUCUCUCGGGAGGCACCCGCCGGCCGCACGCACCAAACUCUGUUUUAUAGUCGUAUUCUGAGUAGACUACAAAUAAGUCAAAACUUUCAGCAACGGAUCUCUUGGUUCUGGCAUCGAUGAAGAACGCAGCGAAAUGCGAUAAGUAAUGUGAAUUGCAGAAUUCAGUGAAUCAUCGAAUCUUUGAACGCACAUUGCGCCCGCUAGUAUUCUGGCGGGCAUGCCUGUUCGAGCGUCCUUUGGACCCUCGGGCCCGGGUGACUUUGUCCCCUGCGGCCCGGUGUUGGGGACCCGCGGCUGCCGCGGCCCCCUAAAGACAGUGGCGGACUUCUUUACAGCCCUGGCGCAGUAGCACAUCUCGCCUUCGGUUAUAGAGUAUGUCUUGCCCCCAGCACCAUACUUACAAAGCUGGACCUCGAAUCAGGUAGGAAUACCCGCUGAACUUAAGCAUAUCAAUAAGCGGAGGAAAAGAAACCAACAGGGAUUGCCCUAGUAACGGCGAGUGAAGCGGCAACAGCUCAAAUUUGAAAUCUGGCCUUGUGCCCGAGUUGUAAUUUGCAGAGGCCCGUUGGGCGCGGUAACUGCUGGAGUCCCCUGGAAUGGGGCGCCACAGAGGGUGAGAGCCCCGUACGGCAGUAGUCUAAGCCCAUGUAUCGGACCCUCGAC